CAGCAGCCGCGGGAAUACGAAGGGUGCAAGCGUUACUCGGAAUUACUGGGCGUAAAGCGUGCGCAGGUGGUGGUUUAAGUCCGUUGUGAAAGCCCUGGGCUCAACCUGGGAAUUGCAGUGGAUACUGGAUCACUAGAGUGUGGUAGAGGAUAGUGGAAUUUCCGGUGUAGCAGUGAAAUGCGUAGAGAUCGGAAGGAACAUCUGUGGCGAAGGCGACUAUCUGGGCCAACACUGACACUGAGGCACGAAAGCGUGGGGAGCAAACAGGAUUAGAUACCCGAGUAGUCCCUGUCUCUUAUAC
rnacentral:rRNA from 1 species